rnacentral:rRNA from 1 species
CACGUAGGCGGCAAGCGUUAUCCGGAAUUAUUGGGCGUAAAGAGCGCGCAGGUGGUUGAUUAAGUCUGAUGUGAAAGCCCACGGCUUAACCGUGGAGGGUCAUUGGAAACUGGUCGACUUGAGUGCAGAAGAGGGAAGUGGAAUUCCAUGUGUAGCGGUGAAAUGCGUAGAGAUAUGGAGGAACACCAGUGGCGAAGGCGGCUUCCUGGUCUGUAACUGACACUGAGGCGCGAAAGCGUGGGGAGCAAACAGGAUUAGAUACCCCGGUA